CUGUCAGAGGCAGCCAUUGUUCAGCGGGUUGCACUGGCUGUGCCGGGGCUGGGCUGGUCCUAACCCCGCUCUCCAAGUCUCUGCCCUCCUUUAAAGCUGGAAGAGGGGACCAGUUCCUGGCUCUGAGCACUCUGAGGUUCUCGGGUGCAGGCCACCAUGAGCAAACGGAAGGCGCCACAGGAGACUCUCAACGGGGGAAUCACCGACAUGCUCACAGAACUCGCAAACUUUGAGAAGAACGUGAACCAGGCGAUCCACAAGUACAAUGCUUACAGAAAAGCAGCAUCUGUGAUAGCAAAGUACCCACAUAAAAUAAAGAGUGGAGCAGAAGCUAAGAAAUUGCCUGGAGUAGGAACAAAAAUUGCUGAAAAGAUUGAUGAGUUUUUAGCAACUGGAAAAUUGCGUAAACUGGAAAAGAUUCGGCAGGAUGAUACGAGUUCGUCCAUCAAUUUCCUAACUCGAGUUACUGGCAUUGGUCCAUCUGCUGCAAGGAAGUUUGUAGAUGAAGGAAUUAAAACAUUAGAAGAUCUCAGAAAAAAUGAAGAUAAAUUGAACCAUCAUCAGCGAAUUGGGCUGAAAUAUUUUGAGGACUUUGAGAAAAGAAUUCCUCGUGAAGAGAUGUUACAAAUGCAAGAUAUUGUACUAAAUGAAGUUAAAAAAGUGGAUUCUGAGUACAUUGCUACAGUCUGUGGCAGUUUCAGACGAGGGGCAGAGUCCAGCGGUGACAUGGACGUUCUCCUGACGCAUCCAAGCUUUACCUCUGAGUCAACCAAACAGCCAAAGCUGUUACAUCGUGUUGUGGAGCAGUUACAAAAGGUCCAUUUUAUUACAGAUACUCUGUCAAAAGGUGAAACAAAAUUCAUGGGUGUUUGCCAGCUUCCCAGUAAAAAUGAUGAAAAGGAAUAUCCACACAGGAGAAUUGAUAUCAGGUUGAUACCCAAGGAUCAAUAUUAUUGUGGUGUUCUCUAUUUCACGGGGAGUGAUAUUUUCAAUAAGAAUAUGAGAGCUCAUGCCCUAGAAAAGGGCUUCACAAUCAAUGAAUAUACAAUCCGUCCCCUGGGAGUCACUGGAGUUGCUGGAGAACCCCUGCCAGUGGAUAGCGAGAAAGACAUCUUUGACUACAUCCAGUGGAAAUACCGAGAACCCAAGGAUCGAAGUGAAUGAGGCCUAUCCUUCUCCCAGGCACAGCCCAACAGGAGUCUUAAUUUAUUUCUUAACCUUUGCUAUGUAAGGUAUUUCAGCCGGGAAUCUGAAGGACUCACUUAAACCCAAAUCCAGCACCGCCAACCAGGAGCGCACAGCGUCCCCUCCUCCCUAGCUGCGUUUUACCUUCUGAGCCCCUUGCACGUCGGCA